rnacentral:rRNA from 1 species
GCUUGCUCCCUGAUGUUAGCGGCGGACGGGUGAGUAACACGUGGGUAACCUGCCUGUAAGACUGGGAUAACUCCGGGAAACCGGGGCUAAUACCGGAUGCUUGUUUGAACCGCAUGGUUCAAACAUAAAAGGUGGCUUCGGCUACCACUUACAGAUGGACCCGCGGCGCAUUAGCUAGUUGGUGAGGUAAUGGCUCACCAAGGCAACGAUGCGUAGCCGACCUGAGAGGGUGAUCGGCCACACUGGGACUGAGACACGGCCCAGACUCCUACGGGAGGCAGCAGUAGGGAAUCUUCCGCAAUGGACGAAAGUCUGACGGAGCAACGCCGCGUGAGUGAUGAAGGUUUUCGGAUCGUAAAGCUCUGUUGUUAGGGAAGAACAAGUACCGUUCGAAUAGGGCGGUACCUUGACGGUACCUAACCAGAAAGCCACGGCUAACUACGUGCCAGCAGCCGCGGUAAUACGUAGGUGGCAAGCGUUGUCCGGAAUUAUUGGGCGUAAAGGGCUCGCAGGCGGUUUCUUAAGUCUGAUGUGAAAGCCCCCGGCUCAACCGGGGAGGGUCAUUGGAAACUGGGGAACUUGAGUGCAGAAGAGGAGAGUGGAAUUCCACGUGUAGCGGUGAAAUGCGUAGAGAUGUGGAGGAACACCAGUGGCGAAGGCGACUCUCUG